CCAGGUUCUUUCCACUACGCGCCUCCAGCGAGGCGCGUAGUGGAAAGAGCCUGGGU
rnacentral:miRNA from 1 species